GCGGACGUGGCGGAACGGCAGACGCGCCAGACUUAGGAUCUGGUGCCGCAAGGCGUAAGGGUUCAACUCCCUUCGUCCGCA
rnacentral:tRNA from 1 species